UACGGAGGGGCUAGCGUUGUUCGGAAUUACUGGGCGUAAAGCGCACGUAGGCGGCUUUGUAAGUUAGAGGUGAAAGCCCAGGGCUUAACCCUGGAAUUGCCUUUAAGACUGCAUCGCUAGAAUCGUGGAGAGGGUGAGUGGAAUUCCGAGUGUAGAGGUGAAAUUCGUAGAUAUCGGAAGAACACCAGUGGCGAAGGCGGACUCACUGG
rnacentral:rRNA from 1 species